GCAGACACAUUCCAGCCAAUCAGCAGCAGACCCUCCCUCCCAGACCCUCCCACCUCCUGGACAGCAUCCAUUGUGAAGCUGCAUUCUUAGUGAGCUGUCCAGGAGGUGGGAGGGUCUGGGAGGGAGGGUCUGCUGCUGAUUGGCUGGAAUGUGUUUG